rnacentral:rRNA from 1 species
AGUGAACGUUGGCGGCGUGGAUUAGGCAUGCAAGUCGAGCGAUCGUAGCAAUACGGGAGCGGCAAACGGGGUAGGAAUACAUCGGAACGUACCCUCUGGUCGAGGAUAGCGUCGGGAAACUGACGGUAAUACUCGAUAAAGUCGAGAGACCAAAGGUUUACUGCCGGAGGAGCGGCCGAUGCGAUAUUAGGUAGUUGGUGGGGUAACGGCCUACCAAGCCUGAGAUGUCUAGGGGGUGUGAGAGCAUGGCCCCCACCACUGGGACUGAGAAACUGCCCAGACACCUACGGGUGGCUGCAGUCGAGGAUCUUCGUCAAUGGGCGAAAGCCUGAACGAGCGACGCCGCGUGCGGGAUGAAGGCCCUUGGGUUGUAAACCGCUGUCAGGGGGAUGAAACCGCAAGGUUGACAGAGCCCCAGAGGAAGCACGGGCUAAGUUCGUG